CACGUAGGGCGCAAGCGUUGUCCGGAAUUAUUGGGCGUAAAGAGCUCGUAGGCGGUCUGUUACGUCUGCUGUGAAAACCCAGGGCUUAACCCUGGGCUUGCAGUGGAUACGGGCAGACUAGAGGCAGGUAGGGGAGAAUGGAAUUCCCGGUGUAGCGGUGAAAUGCGCAGAUAUCGGGAGGAACACCGGUGGCGAAGGCGGUUCUCUGGGCCUGUCCUGACGCUGAGGAGCGAAAGCGUGGGGAGCGAACAGG
rnacentral:rRNA from 1 species